AAAUAAGAAAUAAAAAUUUAUAUUUAGUUUCGACCUAACAAUUGGCAUUUGCCCUUAUUUU
rnacentral:tRNA from 1 species